rnacentral:tRNA from 1 species
UGCGGGGUGGAGCAGGAGCAGCUCGCUUGGCUCAUAACCAAGAGAACGCGUGUGCAAAUCACGCCCCCGCAACCA